AAGGUAGUGUAGUUAACACCUGCACUAUUUGACGUUACCUACAGAAGAAGCACCGGCUAACUCCGUGCCAGCAGCCGCGGCAAUACGGAGGGUGCGAGCGUUAAUCGGAAUUACUGGGCGUAAAGCGCAUGCAGGCGGCCUGUUAAGUCAGAUGUGAAAGCCCGGGGCGUUAACCUCGGAAUUGCAUUUGUAAACUAGGCAGGCUAGAGUCUUGUAGAGGGGGGUAGGGAAUUUCUAGGUGUAGCGGUGAAAUAGCGUAGAGAUCUGAAGGAAUACCAGUGGCGAAGGCGGCCCCCUCGGACAAAGACUGACGCUCAGAUGCGAAAGCGUGGGGAGCAAACAGGAUUAGAUACCCUGGUAG
rnacentral:rRNA from 1 species